rnacentral:rRNA from 1 species
CCAAGGCUAAAUACUCCUGACUGACCGAUAGUGAACCAGUACCGUGAGGGAAAGGCGAAAAGAACCCCGGCGAGGGGAGUGAAAAAGAACCUGAAACCGUGUACGUACAAGCAGUGGGAGCCUCUUAAUGGGGUGACUGCGUACCUUUUGUAUAAUGGGUCAGCGACUUAUAUUCUGUAGCAAGGUUAACCGAAUAGGGGAGCCGAAGGGAAACCGAGUCUUAACUGGGCGUUAAGUUGCAGGGUAUAGACCCGAAACCCGGUGAUCUAGCCAUGGGCAGGUUGAAGGUUGGGUAACACUAACUGGAGGACCGAACCGACUAAUGUUGAAAAAUUAGCGGAUGACUUGUGGCUGGGGGUGAAAGGCCAAUCAAACCGGGAGAUAGCUGGUUCUCCCCGAAAGCUAUUUAGGUAGCGCCUCGUGAAUUCAUCUCCGGGGGUAGAGCACUGUUUCGGCAAGGGGGUCAUCCCGACUUACCAACCCGAUGCAAACUGCGAAUACCGGAGAAUGUUAUCACGGGAGACACACGGCGGGUGCUAACGUCCGUCGUGAAGAGGGAAACAACCCAGACCGCCAGCUAAGGUCCCAAAGUCAUGGUUAAGUGGGAAACGAUGUGGGAAGGCCCAGACAGCCAGGAUGUUGGCUUAGAAGCAGCCAUCAUUUAAAGAAAGCGUAAUAGCUCACUGGUCGAGUCGGCCUGCGCGGAAGAUGUAACGGGGCUAAACCAUGCACCGAAGCUGCGGCAGCGACACUAUGUGUUGUUGGGUAGGGGAGCG